UACAGAGGGUGCAAGCGUUACUCGGAAUUACUGGGCGUAAAGCGUGCGUAGGUGGUUCUUUAAGUCAGGUGUGAAAUCCCUGGGCUCAACCUGGGAACUGCAUUUGAUACUGGAGAGCUAGAGUGUGGUAGAGGGUGGUGGAAUUCCCGGUGUAGCGGUGAAAUGCGUAGAUAUCGGGAGGAACAUCAGUGGCGAAGGCGGCCACCUGGACCAACACUGACACUGAGGCACAAAAGCGUGGGUAGCAAACAGG
rnacentral:rRNA from 1 species